GUGGCACUCGGGGGAAGGGCAUUUGCAGGUGACCAGCCAAUCGUUACUCAACUGCAGGGAAACAGGUGGGGAGGCCGAGGAACAGAAGAGGCCAACAGGUGCGGCAAACGAGGCAGCUUAGGGUUGCUUUGUUUAGGCACCAUGCAAAGGCGCUCCUGUUUGGCCCCCAUGUGGACGCAGCUCUUGGCCAAAGCCGCUUUCUAGCUCUGCUGAUGCCACGUGCUCGCUCUACCAGGCUGGAGGUGCACAUUCCAAGACCUGAGGAUGGAGACGUGGUGUCUGCCUUAGCUUUUCUCUGUCAGCACUCCUCUGUUCACCAGACUUCAUGGACACACCUUGGCAACAGUGGAGAAGCCAUUANCUCUUGUGGCAGUUAGAUGCGGGACCAUCUGCAGGCAAAGACUGCAGGAGCUUCAAUUCAUCCCAAGCAUGUGGAUCCUCUCCAGAGAUCCACUCAAGGUGAGUUUG
rnacentral:lncRNA from 1 species